rnacentral:lncRNA from 1 species
GGGUAGAGAUGUAGCAUCAAACAUUCACGGAUGUCCAGGGAGCGCGGGCACACAGGCUGCUGGCCAGAGGUACUAGGAAGGUACAGGCGGGAGCCCGACGAGGACGCACCUUCCCCUGUCUUGGAAAGACUGGAGCCUAUGAACACAAUACACUAGUCAUGUUGGAGAUAACAGCCUGACCUGAGUGUGGCUGCAAAAUGAAGCCAUGUUUGGCUUUCCUAAGACAUCAGGCUCACAGCUCUGCUGGACUCUUUAAACCCCGAGGUCAUGUGAAAAGAAGUUUGUCCUGGGUCUGCCUGUCUCUUGUUGGCUGUCCACAAGAUGGAGAAGGCGGAAGCAACCUGAGGCGUCCUCUUUGUCUGUAAGGAUAGAGGGUCCAUUGUGGAAGGGAGAGAUACAGGCACUAUAUAGGCGAGGCCCUACCGGCCUGCAUCUCUUAUCUCCAGAAUUCUUUUACAGAAAAGAAAUAAAUAAAUAAACUUUUAUCUGGCUUAAGCC